rnacentral:rRNA from 1 species
GACAGAGGGUGCAAACGUUGUUCGGAAUUACUGGGCGUAAAGCGCGUGUAGGCGGCCCUGCAAGUCGGGUGUGAAAUCCCAUGGCUCAACUAUGGAAGUGCACUCGAAACUGCAGGGCUAGAGUCCUGGAGAGGAAGGUGGAAUGCUUGGUGUAGAGGUGAAAUUCGUAGAUAUCAAGCGGAACACCGGUGGCGAAGGCGGCCUUCUGGACAGUGACUGACGCUGAGACGCGAAAGCGUGGGGAGCAAACGGGG